UUUCCGUAGGUGAACCUGCGGAAGGAUCAUUAAUGAGUUGUCAUGGGGUUCGAUGGUGGCAGCCAAUUUUUGGAUGCAUGUGCUUGCCCUAACAAUCAUCUUCCAAACACCUGUGCACAUUUUUGAGGGAGUCUUGAGUUGGUUGCCGCUCUUGGGUGAUUUUCUCACAUUCCCUUAAAUCAUUAUACGCUAUUAACAAUGUUGAACGUGCUCUGUGCCACAAGGCUAUUAAUAUAAUACAACUUUUAACAACGGAUCUCUUGGCUCUC
rnacentral:misc_RNA from 1 species